ensembl:lncRNA
CUCAUAUAACUUACAGCUCUUGGCUGAUCAGAUGUUGCUGGACCAAGGGAGUCAAGCUCUAUCUUUCCCUCCGAGAUUCCUGUCUGCUGGCAGGGCCCAAACAGAACCAACCCCCAGCAACUCUGACUCUGCACUUGCCACCAUCCUUAUCUGACUCCCAGCUAACAACUCUCAAGGCUGAAUUCUGCUUUGGAGAAAUUUGAACGCAUCGCCGCCCUAGUGGACAGCCCUACUCACAAACACAGAGCAGCUGGUGCCAACCCUAGCUGCCAUCUUGGAAUUCCGCCAUCAGCCCGUGAACUCCACACACCAAGCACUGCUUAGCACCCUGCUGCCAUCUCCUGGUGGUUGUUGGUCCUCUUCUGCUCCUUGGAUCUUUGGGACUGCUCUUCCCAACCAGCUCUAACAAGUUCCUGAUAUCCUCAUCGUGCUACUAGACAUUGUUUUAUUGCAGACCUGGGCCUCAAAGAAAAAUGCAAAGAGAAGUCAUUAAAGUAAUGAGACGCAUGACCAGAAAAUGGAGUAAAUGCUUAUCUCCUCUUGACAUGCUAGAGCUAAGUAGGUGAAACUUACCCAAGAUCACUCAAGGAUGGAUAUAUGCAUUUGUUGUGUGAAAAUCUUUCAGAGUUUGAAAGUGAUGUCGCCAGGCACGGUGAAAUACUUAGAGCCUCCCUUGGGCAUCCUUUGUCACAGUUUUCUUGGAAAACAUAUCAAAAGAUCCUCUAGUGUCUCCUUCAUUUUCAGCUUUCUUCUAACCUCAUCAGAAGAAGCAUAAUGGCAAACCUAAAUUGGACUGGGUUUCAAUCCAAGUACCUGGAAAGCUGAGUUGCCU